GAAAGCACGACAUUGCUCACAUUGCUUCCAGUAUUAUUUUAGCCAGCGAUUGCUGGCUUUUUUUU
rfam:Leclercia adecarboxylata strain I1 Leclercia_S84_R1__paired__contig_52, whole genome shotgun sequence.